rnacentral:rRNA from 1 species
ACGCUCGACACCUACGGAGGCAGCAGUUAGGAAUAUUGGGCAAUGGAGGAAACUCUGACCCAGCAACGCCGCGUGAAGGAAGAAGGUUUUCGGAUUGUAAACUUCUGAUCUAGGGGAAGAAGGAAGUGACGGUACCCUAGGAGAAAGCCACGGCUAACUACGUGCCCGCAGCCGCCGGUAAGUCUGAGCGGGCGUGGCAAGGC